CAGUUUCCUUGGUGCCCUGGUGUUCAAGCCACUCCUGAAAGCUCAAUCUAGUGUCUGUUUCUUCAGCUCUCCUGGUAAUUUUGAUGACAGGCCAGGACACUCUGGAUGCCAUCCUCAGUGUGUCUAGGCUGUGACUCUGACUUUCUGGGCCAGGACCAGGGCCUUACAGUGCAGGAGAAAGACAGAGAUGUGGAAGCUUCAUGGGGAGGCUUUAAAAACAGGUGAGCCAAGAUUUGGAGGAACCACUGGGAUGCUCACUCGUGGCCAUGACAUCAGCAUUCCAGGAGGGCAGCUCCACAGAUAAGUCACUCCUGAUACUGCUGGCAGCUCACCAUCAGGAACAAUGCACUGAAAUGCAUACGGCCUUUGUAAUGCGCAUUUACAUUGAUCUAACCACUUUCUGGGAAACUCACAACAGUCCAUGGGUGUGAUUAUUGUUAUUUCCAUAUUGCAGAUGAUGGAGCUAAGGCCCCAGGAGGUUAACUGACUUGCCCAAGGCCAUAUUGCCUGUAUGUGAUAUAGCUGGGAUUCAAAUCCAGGUAGUUUGGUUUGAGAGUCCACACUGUUAAUCAUCGCUUCCCGGCGCACUGCUUUUAGCUGAACUCAACGUGCCAACGAUUACCGUAGCUAAAAGUAACAAUAGCAAAGGAGGCUAGGAAAUGCUUACCUCCCUAAAAGUUUUAUAGUGAACUUCAUGUGAAUCAUGUUAUCACCCAGACUGCACGUGAUCUCAACAUUUUAAAAAUAUGCCUGUAGAAAGGGGAUUUUAAAUUGGAAAAGAUGAGUCCUUCCCAUUACUUUAUGUUUCAGAGUUGGAAGGAAUACAAGCUUUCUGAGGAAGGCAGCGCUGUGGCUCCAAUGGCCUGGAGCUCCAUUUUGUCUCGGUAGCCACCCUGGAAUGGUGGGUCAGAUGGUAGAGAGGCUUAGAGGCUCAGUAAAGAAGUUUGGGCUUGGCACUGAGUCCCUGGAGAUUUUCAAGUGGAGACAGAUGGGAUGAACUAAUGUUCUGCUACAAUCAGGCUGACAGUGCAGAGUGCAGGGUGAAGGGAGAUGGAAGAUGGAGAGGCCAAUGAGAAGGCUGCUGCACAUGAGGAGGAGGCUGGGCUAGGAUUGAAGGAGAGGGAAUGAAAAGAUGGUGAUGGCCUCAGAAAUGAAAGGAAAAGCCACAGGGCUUGUGAUUAAUUGGAUCCUGGGGUGGGAGAAGCAGACAUGGAGGUUUUCAGCCAGAAGCAAGAGAAUCAAGAAGAAAAAGGGAUGGUUUUGAGAGAAACAAUAUUCAGACCCACUGAAUUUUAGGAGAGAUAGGGGCACUAAGUUGCAAGGCUAAUAGGUAGUAGGAGAUCUUGUGCUGGGACACAGAGAAUAACUCAAGCUUGUGGUUUAGUAGAGAAAUGGAAAUUGCAGCAUUGAGAAUUAGAGGAGGUUGUGAGAGGAGGGCUGAGAACUAAGAGGUAACUCCAGCAUCAACAAGGGUGAAGGUGGAGAGCCUCUCAUAGAGCCUGGCAGGAAAACCACUGGUGACAUUUGAGAGUACAGUCCAGGUUCCCCAGAGAAAGAGAACCAGUAGGGCAUGUGUGUGU
rnacentral:lncRNA from 1 species